CUUCACCGAUCCCAGCCACACCGGCUGUUCGGCGGGGCGCUGACCGUAGGUGGCCAGCAGCGCGUGCGCCUC
rfam:Streptomyces scabiei 87.22 complete genome